AUUGAACGCUGGCGGAAUGCUUUACACAUGCAAGUCGAACGAUAACCCUUAGCUUGCUAGGGGGUUUGGUGGCGGACGGGUGAGUGAUAUAUCGGAACAUGCCUUGCUAUUUUGGCUAACUAGUCGACAGAGUAGCUAAUACCGUAUUCGCGCUUACGGGGAACGGGUGGGAUCUUCGGACCUUCCGUUAUUAGACCGGCCGAUAUCGGAUUAGCUAGUUGGUGGGGUAAAGGCCUACCAAGGCGACGAUCCGUAGCUGGUCUGAGAGGACGACCAGCCACACUGGAACUGAGACACGGUCCAGACUCCUACGGGAGGCAGCAGUGGGGAAUAUUGGACAAUGGGCGCAAGCCUGAUCCAGCCAUACCGCGUGAGUGAAGAAGGCCUUCGGGUUGUAAAGCUCUUUUGUAAGGGAAGAAAACCUGCCGGUGAAUACAUGGCGAGGCUGACGGUACCUAGAGAAGAAGCACCGGCUAACUACGUG
rnacentral:rRNA from 1 species